rnacentral:lncRNA from 1 species
CACAAGUUAGUGAAGCAGUUGCAUUGUAUAGUUAUGUUCACUGAACAUUCCUGCUUACUACACAUGAUACAGGACCCUUCUCUGAGGAGGCAACUGGAUCUUGGUAGAGAAGCUGCUGGCCUAUAUAAACUGGCUUGGUUCCCUUCUUCCCCUUCUUCAUCUGUUAGUUGUUCAUCUACUUCUGUUUGUCCUGUAUUUGCUUCUUGUAAUGAUAGAAAAGUUGUUGCAUUGCCUUCUGUGUCUGUUUCUUGUAAUGAUGACAUCUUGUAUGAUAACAAGGUUGUUCCAUUGCCUUCACAUGUAAAUAGUUCCAUCUGUAAUAAUGAUUUUAC